rnacentral:pre_miRNA from 1 species
UGCGCUCAGGGGGGUCCCUCAGCCCAGAUUGCAAGAGGGCGCAGGCCAGGCUGAGGGACCCACCGGUGCAUG